ensembl:lncRNA
AGCGACUAACCUGAUAUUCACCAGAUCACUCAAAGAGAGGUCCAGCAAAGGGUGCCCGCUCCCCUGCCCCGCAGUGUGCCCCUCUUCUCAUUGCUUUGCUCUGGUGGAAUGGUUGUAUGUAAUUUCACUUGUACAAACUUCUUUAAGAGACAGUAGAGGCCCCCAGCCCCUGUUCCUAUGGAGAAGGACCCUGAAUCUGCUCCAGAGAAGGCUGGUCUAGAGGUAUGGCUUAGACCAGUGUCUUUCAGGUGUAAAUAAGAGUAUGAAGCACCUGGGGCUCUUGCUAAAAAGGCAGCUUUGGAUUCAGGAGGUCCAGGGCAAGGCCUGAGACUCUGCAUUUCUAACAGUCUCCCUGGAGAUGCUGCCACAUAGCCACACUUUGAGCAGCCAAGGAUGGCUGGAUUGGGUCUCCUUGGCUGACCUGCUGGUGGUUGCUCUCUGUUAAGUUCCUCUAAUUUGUCCUUCCAUUUCCAGCAGCAAAGAGUGGCCAGAUUAUUUUUGCAAUAUCCAAGAAAGAUCUUGGGAGUUCCCUGGUGGUGUAGUAGUUAGGAUUUGGCACUUUCACUGCAGUGGCCAGGGUUCAAUCACUGGUCUGGGAACUGAGACCCCAUAUCAAGCUGCUGCACACCAUGGCCAAAAAAAAAUUCUGACUAAGAGUGUGUGGGCAGACAGGAGAGGCAAGUGAGCUGCAGGGACAAUCAGGCAGGGGUGACCGGGAGGGAAGCAGGAUCUGGGACUCUCUCUGUUGGUGCAUCUCACACAGCAUCUUCUCGGAGCAGUUUCUUUGACAAUACUCUCUUCUCCCUCUGCCUCAUCUCCCAGUUUGAGUUAAGUUUGCCUCCUCAGUGCUUCUCUACUGGAAUUACCUAUUUACUUGUAUGUCUCACCAACUAGACUAAAACCUCUCAAAGAAGGACUUUAGUCAGCUUUGCAUUCUCAGCUCAUCACGUGAUGCUUUGCACAGAGUAGGUGCUUAAGAAAUGCCUGUGAAUGAAGAAGAGAUGAUUUAUCUACCCACACUCUGGGUGCAUUUCACUUUCUGGCUCUCUAUUCACUUGUAUUCUAUAACCUUUUACAAAGCAUUAGUUGUGGGCUGGGGUGUAAACUGAAGGCUAAAACAUGGUCAUUGCUGUCACGGCCUUUCCAGGCUCUCCAUAAUGAAGCGUCACACAGAGCAGACUAUGCUAAGUGUUGUUUUGUGGGGCUCUUGAUUUGGGAGAGGGCAGAGGAUGGAGAGACAAGACUUGGCUUGGGAAGUGGGAGAAGAUGUUGUGGAGAAGGUGGUGUACAGUCCAGGCCUUGAAGGAUGGGCAGGUUUCCAAAUGGUGAAGCAGCGUUCAGGGAGCAGGAACAAUGUGGUAAAAAGCACGGAGCUGGGAGAGUUUUGAUGCAAAACCAGGGCGCUGAAGCAUCUAGAGCAGGCUUGCCAAGGUGUGAGAACUGAAUAUUCUGUUAAGGGCAUGCUCAGGCCCAGCCAGCCAGAGGAAGCAGGAUUCACUGAUGACAUACUUGACAGCUCGCACCUCAGUGUCCCGAUUGCCCAGCUACAUUAGCCAAGAAUGCCAGGCAGCUAUGAGGCGCUCCCUGGAGUUAUCAGGACCCAGGAGGAGGAUGGAGGGGCCAUCAUGACUGGCCUGGAGCCAUCUUUGGGGACCCAAGGUUGGCCCAGAGCACCGGGUUUAGAAGCUGGAGUUCUAAGAGGACUCAAGGGGAGGCAGAGGGACAUAGUUCCAUGGCAACACAUCUUGAAAGCUGCUACCUACACCUGAGCAGGACAAGCUGCCCUCAGCAUCCAUUUCUGGCCACUUCUGGCAUGUCCUGAGGCAAGCAGAAGCAGGAAGGCAAAGAACCAACUUCUUUGGACUAUUGGUCAGAAAGAGAGGUGGAACUGUUCACUGCCCUAUCUUACAAGCAGCACUGCCUGUGAGAAUUGCCCCAGUCCGUUUUGGGCAGGUCACACAGUCUCUCUGAGUCUUUGUGUCCUUAUCUGUCAAUGGGGGUAACAAACACUACUUACCUCUCAGGAGUGUAUGAUGAUGCUCAAGCUCAAUUACAUGUGCAAAGCCUUAAGAUAGGAGAUACUCAGGAGAAAUUGAAUAUUUGAUCCUUUUAAUCAUUUGUAUUUACUUGUGGUAAACUAGGAGGGUUUCCCAAAAGGCUGGUCCCCUCUAAGAGGGAGAGAUGAUCUUUGUCAUGAGUGGGGUUCUUGCUCGUGGUAGGUACCCAGGCAACCGGCGUUUCUGAGGUGGGCCGUCCUGGGCUCUCUUGAGCAGGCUUCGGCACCUCCAUCUCCAGGUCCUGUUGCACCAUUAGAGUAAUGAUGAUGGGGAACUUCCCAUUUACAACUUGGCUUUCUCGCUGGACUAUAAAAUACUCGGGACAGAAAGAGGUGAAGGGAGUUCUUUACCCGUUAUCCCUUCCAUAAAUGCCGAUGAAGAAAUGAGCAAGUGAGGAAAAGAUUAAAUGAGAGAUAUGCAUUUCGUUUUCAUCCACAGAAUCAUUUUCGUUGCUUCCCAGAACAAAUGUGCUGUGCUAUGAGGUGAUGCCAAAACUCUGUGCUCCUGUUCUCCUUACCACCUGGGGCUCUUGUUAAAAAUGCAGCUUCUGGAAUUCUCGUUGUGGCUCAGUGGGUUGAGAAUUUGACUGGUAUCCGUGAAGAUACAGGUUCAAUCCCUGGCCUCGCUCAGUGGGUUGAGGAUCUGGCACUGCAGCUGCCGUGUCGAUCACAGAUGCAGCUCUGAUCUGGUGUGACUGUGGCUGCGUUGUAGGCCGGCAGCUGCAGCUCUGAUUUGGCCCCUAGCCUGCGAACUUCUAUAUGCUGUGGGUGCAGCCCUAGGGGGAAAAAAAAAAAGCAGCUUCUGGAUUCAUAGAUCCAGGCAGUGCCUGAGACUCUGCAUUUCUAACAGUCUCCCUGGUGAUGCUAAUGAUGCUGAUGCCACACUUUGAGUAGCCGGGGAUGGCUGGAUUGGGUCUCCUUGGCUGACCUUGCUGACGGGUACUCUCUUUCAAGUUCCUCCAAUGUGUCCUUGAGAAGGACGCUCCUCUGGGUCCCUUGCUCUCCCAUUGCUAUCCUCUGAAGGCCCAUACUGGACGUAAGUAGACAAGAAGAGAAAAGUACUGGCUUUCUCCUACAACCUCCUCACAUACUCUGUCUGCCCUCCGAAUACCAAGGACCCCAAAGCAGUGCCGGGGUCCCCCCUCCAAAGGCAGCGGUGUCUUAUACCAGAGGGAAGCCAGCUCAUAGUCAGCUCAGGUUUGGGCCAUACAGUUAGAACAUCAGGACUCAAAGAAACCAUAGCAGUCAAGUAGCUUCAUGCAGCACCCUAAUGUUAAAGAGAAGCCCCAAAGGCUAAUGACAGCAUAUUAAGGUCCUUACCCAGGGUUGGAAGAAAGAAGAACAUGCCACUACCGUGUCUUCAUUUUGAAGCCAUGUGCAGCAUCUAGAGGACCAAACCCUCUGAUGUCAAACGCAAGCAGCUAAUGUUUCUGCUGCUGUGAAUAUUAGCCGAGUUAUGCACUCUCUCAGGUGCAUGGAAAGUUCUAUCCACCCUCUUCAAAUUCUAUCCUUUGGACAGUUUUAUAUUUCUGUUGGGGAGCUUUGUUUACCUUCACCAAGCAACUCAUUCUGGAAUGUUAUCUUUGGGCCAUCGCUGGAAGUGUCCUCCUUCCCGUUACAUUUUCUUAGUUUUGAUAUUUCAGGGCUUGCUGCCUGUCAACCUCACACCCCAGCUUCUUCCCUUUUGCCUUUGCUUUUCAGCGUCUGUGCCAAGAACAUUUACAAAAUUAUAUUCUGGAUGCAGUAAACAGAGGACAUAGGCUUAGUCUAGUCUGAAUAUUUUCCUCAGUUGUUCACCAAAAUGUUGAUACCCUUUUUCCUGUGCUCAUUGGAGUAGACAGUUUGUUUGGGGAAGGUUCACACAAUUGCAGAAAGCCUUGGUAAUUGCAGAAAAUAGAUAAAAGCCUUGGUCAUCGAGAAGACGCACAAAGACUCUGGAUGGUCUAAUACAUUCUGAAUCUAAUACAUUCUGAAUAGCAUUCUCCUGGUCAAAGAAGUCCUCCCCUUGUCUUUUUCCCAUUUCCCCGACUCAGAAAUGCUCACGGCAGCUGUUAAACCAGUCGACUUCCACCGCUCCAUCCUUCUUUCCUUCCAUCUCUCCCUUUGCCAACCCAUGAUGUCAUACUUAGUCCAGUGGGUGUUUGGCAGAGAGGCCCCUCCAGCCUCCUCCUGGACACUGCAUCUCUCCCUCUUGGCCCCUUAAUGAUGGGAAUCAACCAUAGCCCAGGGGGCAAAUAACCAAGCUGGCCUCUUCCCCUGGCUACCCCACACCUGAAGGAAGUCUAGGUCCAAGUUUCCGCCCAAAGGCAGGCUGGCUGUGAUUGGUCAGGGAGAACAGAAAGAGUGAACUCUUCCCCCAAAAGCUACUGAGGGUUAGGAGGGACCUCUCAGCCCUCAUCGUCAAACCUCCCUCCAAACACAGGAGUGGCCUCAUUUCCAUCCUCACCCUGGUGAGGUCCGGUGUCCACUCACAAACCACCCACAUGAGCCUGCUCCCUCCCUCAGAGGCCCAUCCUUGGACAGUUCUAAAUACUGGUGAGCUCCCCUUUAUUUUGGAAGGAGUCCAUCUCCACGUAGACACACCUCUCCAAAUCCAUGUGUCGUCUGGGAUCCUAGAGAAGAACAAAAACCUUCUCUCAAGUCAUCCCCUUAAUUAUUUAACAUGGGUAACCUUGGACACUGAGUCUUGAGUUCCUUAGACUGAGAGCGUUGUGUUCUUUCAGCUGGUCCCUGUAAGUCACAGUUUCCAAUUCUUUGUCAUCCUGGGCAUUCCCUCCUGAACACACCUUGUGUCUCCUGUGCCAUUUAAAGGGGAUCCAGGCUUGAAAACCACAAUCCAACACAUAGUAGUGUAGAGGUGCCAGCUCCUGCCUUCUAAUCACUGUAUAAUAUCCAGCCUAGAAAGCUUUCAAGCUUUUCCUUGUACAUAUAAUAUGUGUGUGUGUGUGUGUGUGUGUGUGUGUGUGUGUGUGUGUGUGUGUGUGUAUGUGUGUGUUUGACACCAUGCCGCAGCCUUGGUUUAUAGUGAACUUACAGUCAGUGAAAACCUUUAUGUCUUUUCUUCAUGUGCUGCUGACAAGCCAUUCCUCCCUCAUCUUUUACUUGAACAGUUUGCUUCACCUUUCUUGUAUUACGAGUAAAUUAGCAGUUCAGGGCAGCCUGUACAUGCACUACAAGAGGCUUCAUUAGUAGAUUCCCCCCCGCCCCUGCUUCUAGAGUCUUCUCUUCUUUAUACACCUUUUAGAACAAGCCUUAGCCACGAACUGGCCUCUUUGGUACUGUAGACUCACCUGUGAUUAUCUGAGGGGGAAGGAAGAGGGCAAUGAGUGAGGGGGGCCAGAGCCCAGAUGGGGCAGAUCGCCUGUCAUCGGGGCUGCUUGGGGAGCCAACAGAGGCCUCUCUGGCUCCUGGAUUCUAAUAUUCCCAUUGACAAUACACACCAGGCAACAUGGAGCCUAGUAACAUCACAGAAUAAUAGUAGCUGUCAUUUUUGAGCAGUUACCAAUGGCUGGUUUUACAUCAACUAAGGCAUUUAAUCCUGAUAGUAAGUCAGGUAAAAAUUCAACCCACUUCACAGAUGAGAAAAGUGAGGUUUGAAGACAUUGCUAGUCCAACUGGGAUUUGUACAGAGUUCUGUCCGAAUCAAACCUCAAAUCUCAGCCAUUCUACUUGGAACACUGUAAGUGUUCAUUCUGUAGAUGUGACCUCUAUUCCAGGUAGCUAAGCAGCAGAGUGAGACCCUGAGAGACGCAAGCAUGCUGGAGGAACCACAUCAUAGACCCUCUUGGCUUCCCCUUCCCUGCCCCCCCACAUCCAGACUGUGGCAGGUCAUAAAAUCUUUCCUUGGGUCCAGAGGACAGGUAGCAGAUACCCUCCAAGCACAUUCUGUUAGACAUCAUAGAGAAAGAAGAAUGUCCAUCCCUGGCUGCCUCACAGGUUCCAAUGGGACAUGAUCAACAGAUCAAUCACGUGCUAUCGACCCCCUACCAGAUAGUCAGCACCAAGCCAGGCCCUGACCCACAGAGAUGUAUUAGCCUGUCUGGUCCCUGUAGAGCUGUGCUUGGUGGACAAGACUUCCACACCAGGAGUUCCCAUACUGGCUCAGCAGAAACAAAUCUGACUAGUAUCCAUGAUGAUGCAGGUCCAAUCCCUGGCCUCACUCAGUGGGUUAAGGAUCUAGGGUUGCCAUGAGCUGUGGUGUAAUUUGGCAGCUGCAGCUCCCAUUCGACACCUGGUCUGGGACCCUCCAUAUGCUGUGGGUGCAGCCAUAAAAAGACAAAAAAAAAAAAAAAA